rnacentral:rRNA from 1 species
CAUCACGAGAACCGUUAAUUUCUACCUCUGUGCAGAAUGAGCAGCAGCAAGAUAGAGUGAUUAGGAGGGUCUGCUUCCGGCGCCUGGCUCUAUUUGCUAUUUGCCCUGAAAGGCUUGCUUUUUGGCAGGCUCGUAGGUAAGCAUACUGUUGUAUCUGUCUCGUGGAGGCCCCGCUCAGCGUGCAACUCUCCUCCUAUGAAGUGCACGUUGGGUAACUUAUCUAACAAUUCUAACCCAUUUUUGCUAGUUGACUUUUAUAUGUUGUUCUUUGCUUCGGCAAGGUUCACACGUUUAAUUAUUUGAACGUUAAAAAUACAACUCUUAGCAAUGGAUAUCUAGGUUCUCGCAACGAUGAAGAACGCAGCGAAAUGCGAUACGUAAUGCGAAUUGCAGAAUUCAGUGAAUCAUCAAAUCUUUGAACGCAAAUUGCGCUCUUGGGUAGCCCUAGGAGCACGCCUCUCUCAGUAUCGGUUCAACAAUCUCUCAGCAGCGCUAUUGCAAAAUAGCGUGUUGGCUGGAAAAUGAGAGUCUGUGUGCUUUUGUCGCGCAGUCUCUUUAAAUACAUGGAGUGAGCAUUACAACUAACGAUCAGCUUUCGCCUCUCGGGGUGAAAUAGUCUAGUUUCGACUGUUGUUCGUGUAGUGACGUGAAUAUUGGCCCUCGUGGUCUAACUUUUACGUGUAUCUGCCGAAUGAUAAUUAAAAGUUGAGAUCAAGAUGAACGAUUGACCUAGUUUAUG